UCAGGGUCCAGGAGGGGAAGAGGAGCGCCUGUGUUUUAGGAGCAGGGGCCUGGUUCGGCAGUGUGAGUGAGACCCAUGGUUCCCAUUGUACAGAUGGGAAGACUGAGACCUCGGAAGGCACCUACUCAAGAAGCGGGAAGCCCAUUCAUUCCAGGUGGGCCCAGGGAAGGUGGGGACAUACGGACACGUCAGGCAGAGUGGGAUGGUGAUGGGGCGUCCAUCGGGGGACAGGCACAGGCCCCAGGCCUCCCACCUCAGUGCUUAUGUUUUCUAGACCUUUGAGUGAGUGGAAGGCAGUUUCAGUGCUUGGGCUGGGGAUGAGCUGUGCUCUUGGCACAGAGUUCUUAAAUUCUCUUUGCUUUAGGGUUUGGGCUGCUGGGGAGAGCUCCUCGUGCCUCCCGGUGAGGCGGAAGUGGGAGAGCCUCGGCACACAGUGGAAACACACCUGGAUUUUUAGGCCCAUGCCUGCUGCGUGGCGUUGGGCAAGCCCCCUAGUAUCCGGGGGGACUCAGUUUCCUCAUCCGUACAAUGGGAUUCCCAGUCCCGGCUCCCUCAGCCUGUUCCCCAAAUGAGGGGAGGCUCGAAUGGGAUGGCAUGCUCUGGGAGGUGUGCAGUGUGUCACAAGCACGGCCACAGGUGACAGGGGUCAGCAGAGGAAAGCCUUGAGGUUAGAGCUGAUAGAGGGAUAGACAGAUGGAGAGAGAAGCCUGGAGAGAUCAAAGAAUCCCAGAGACAGAGAGAGAGGGAGAGACAAAGAGCGAUCACACAGAAACAAAGAGAGAGGGACAGAGAUGGAGAUGGGCAGGAGGUGUAGACCCAGGAAAAAAGAGUCAGGCAAACUGCGUCAGGCUGUGACUUCCUGGAGCCCCGAUGGUGUUUUCCUGGCCAGCGGACAGCGUGGCAGGCUGGGGGCUGCCCUUUAGCCUGGACUCUCUCUCCAUCCAGGCCAAGAAGUUCCCCGGGCUUCUCUCUGGCCUGGAGGUUCCCGCCUGGUCACCCUCUGCUUUUCUGUCGCACAGGGAAGACUGAGCUGGCUGCCAGCCCCGUCCUCCCCCAUCCCCCAGCGCCCGGGACCGGCUGGUGCUCAUUGCUGCUACACUCGGGUCUCCCGCUCCAGGAGCAGCCACGGCAGGUCCCCAAGGGCCUGGAGACAACAAAUGACUCCCCGCUGACGGGUUGCUCGCUGCCUCCUGCCUGCGAGCCCGUUCGGCUGCACACCGCACGCAGAUAAUCAUUGGUAUAUCCAGCUGGCGGAUGCAGAAGGAGGAAGAGGAGAAAGAUGAGAUGUUGGCCAGCCCUGAAGAGUGGGUGUCCUACCUGGCGAGAGAGCACAAGACACUGAUUGCUAAAGAGAGAGAGACAGAGCACGAGCAGGGGAGGAGCACAGGGAGAGGGAGACACUGAAUCCGAAGCGGGCUCCAGGCUCCGAGCUGUCAGCACGGAGCCCGACGUGGGGGCUUGAACUCACAAAUCGCGAGAUCACGACCUGAGCCGACAUCGGAUGUUUAACUGACUGAGCCACCCAGGCAGUAAAGGACUUUCCGUCCCCGGAGGCCUUGAGCAGAGCCAGGCUCCAGCCUCUGGUCUCUAGUAACCAUCCAGGAUUCGUGAAGACCGUCUGGGAGACACCUUCAAGGAUGUGUGAAGCCUGGAGCUCUCUCAGCUGGGAGCUGGGCCCUCGGUGGUCAGCCAGAGAGGACACCCUUGAAUGGUCAGAUCGAUCCCCUCUUUGGAGGGACACUGGGGAAGGCUGUGGCCCAGGCGCGCUGCCCGCCAGGCUUCCCGUGGGUGGCGGGUGUAACUUUUCUUCCUGGUUCUCUCUGAGCCGCCAGCUCUGCUCCCCCAGCCCCGAGUGGCGGCUCCUUGGGCCGGAAACAAUGUGCUUUCUCCACGCCUGGGAGUGGAAGUCAGCAGUUUGGCACCGUCUGGCUGGCAGCCUCCACCGGCUUCCUUUGGCACUUUAUUGGCAAAGGCGGUGACAUUUCUUUCAGUUGGGUGGGUGGAGCUGUUAUGCAGACUCUCGCUCUCCUCAUUCGCCAGAUGAAUAUUCAUGACUCAGGCAAUCUGUACCAGCCAGACUUUCCUGAGGGCGGCAGCUUUUCUUCUCUUCCUCUCUCUCUUUUUCUUUCUCCUUCUCUCCUUCCCAGCUCUUUGGAAAGCUGGAGUACAGCUAUAUUUAAUUUACAAAUACGGAGCUAUUUAGCUUGCCUUUUGGGGUGCAGGCACUGGGGAGGAGAUGCCGGGGAUGGGAACAGUGGAAGCAUUUGGUCCCUGACCCUGGGCUUCCUGGUCCCAGUGUCCAGCCCCCAGGCCCCACAGCCUGGGAAGCCUUAUGGAUCCGGGGCUCCCUUUGAACUUGGCAUCUUGGUGCCUGCAUGCCUGAAGGUGCGGCAGCUCUGUGCCACCUCGUUCCGUGCUGGCUGCCGAGGUCAACGUGGACGUCUGAGACACUGGUGCCUUCCUGCCCAGUGCAUGGCAGACCCCAGCGAUAGAUGAACGCUCCCUCGGUCUCCCUACUGUGCUCUCCCGCUUGUCAAGGCCCACUCAGACCCUGCUUCAAGCCCUAGACAAAACCCCAGAAGGCACUGGGGCAUUUGCUAGUCAUUUCUUUCCUAGAGGAAGAACCAGUCCCUACUUGGGGUCCCCGUUCUCUGGGGAUACACCUGCUCCUUCCCUGGGAAGGGUGGCUACCUACUUUCUUUUGUCUCUUCCCCUAGAGGCACCAGAAACUCUGGCAAAGGGUUCAGAAUUUCCAGAAUUUGCCAGGGAAUUUGGUCUUAGCAAGGAUGUUCUCGUGUAUGUCUUGUGUGUGUGUGUGCGCGCGCGUGUGUGUGUGUGUAUGUAAAUAUUUACGCACAGCUUAAGUGAGUCUGUAUGCCUACAUCUAUGUUCGAGUGUUUGAGUGUGUGUCUGUAUGUGUAAGGGCGUGAAUGUGUAUGUGGCGGGAAGUCUGGGAAUGUCUGCAUGUGCGAAUGCGCCUCUCCAGUUAGAGUUGCGUAUGUAUCGUUGUGGGUCUGGGGUGUUGUGUGUCAAGGUGCUCCUGGGGGGGGGUGCAGAGGCUCGUCUGUGUAGUGUGUAUGUGUGCAUGUGCUAGUGAACUGUAAGAUGUGUGUACAAGUGUAUGUGUGCAUGAGAGUCUGGAGGAGAGAGAGAGAGAAAGAGAGAGAGAGGGAGAGAAUGAUUCCCCCUGACCUCCAUUCUCUCCCAAACCUCAUCCUCUAGCGAGGUGGAGGGAGAUGUCCCCCCCCCCCCCCCCACUUUGCAAGUGUUACAGAUUCUAUCCAAGGACGGGAACAGAAGGCUUCCCAGCACAGAGCGUCCUGAAAUUACUUUAUAUUCCCCCCUCCUUGUUUCAUCUAAUCAAAAUAGCGUUAGGCUCACCCAUUCUCCCUGCCCAUCCACUUAGCCCCGAGGGAGGGAGCGAAGCGGGCCAUCUUGUCUGACCUCCUCUGAGAGCACCUUGCAGCCCCAAGCCAAGGAGCUGUCUUCCAAAUCUCCUCGUUCCACGGCCCAUGCUUCAGUGGCAAGAGCCAGCUGCCUCCCUGCCUGCCAGCAACCGCCAAGCUCUUCCAGAACCCACAUCCAGGCUCAGCCUCAUUUACAAAUAUGCAAAUUUGCAUCUUUUCUGGUAUGCAAAUGGAGACAUGACAAAUAGCUAAUUAGGGUCAAAAGAAGCACUCUGAACCAAUUAGUUGUAGGGUCGAUUCCUUUCUGCUGGGAGGAGACUGGCCUCUCCUGCCCCCCUCCAUCCCUGGCUCCCCCAGGCCCACACACUCUGGCCUGUCCCGUCUGGCUGGGGCCAUGGACGGUCAAAGAGCACUGAAACAGGGGUUGUUGCUUGAAUCACAGUCCCACUCUGGGUGUUAGCUGUGUGACCCUGGACACACUCACCGGGACCUCAGUGUCUCCCUCUGUGAAACAGCAAUGGCAGUGGCUGUCUUGCCCCUAAACCUCCACCCCAGUGUCGUGAGACUUUGGGGGGACUUGGAUGGCAAUAGCCUCUGGAAACUGUACUAAAAUGCCUCUGAUAGGCGCAUCACUUGUGUUCUUCCAAAGUAUUCUGCCCUUGAUUUCAUGUAAUCGUCACAUCCACCCUCUGAAUUAGAUGAAUUAGAUGUAGCGACAGCGUGGCAGUGAGUUUCAUCCUGGGUGCCAACUCUGGCCAAUUACGAUUGUCUGCCUGGAGCGGUGCGUUGAGAAGGAUGUCGAGGCCAAGUCUGGAUUCCCCAGGAGAGAGAGACUGUGAUCGAUUAAUGAUGUCUGCCACGGGCAAGUCAUUGGGCUCUGGCAGUCACGUGCUACAUAUUUACCGCCCAGGAAAGCUGUGGAGUUGGGAGCAGGCACCCGGGUUCCGGUCCUGUCUGCUCCCUUGAGUAAGUGACGUCCCCUUCCGGAGCUCCGCUACCUGGUCUAACCCAGGCACAAUACAGCCUGGGUCUCAGAGCUAUUGUGAGGAGGCAAAAGCUUUCUUUCAUCCGGGAGGUGAUGUGGACACUUAAUUGACACUUCAGUGGGACGGGCGUGCUGUCCCAUUACAGAGGCGGGGAGCCCGAGGCCUGCGGAGGGUGGAUGACUCGGAGAAGAGGAAGCCAGCAGCCUUACCAGGCAGGCCCGCACGGGCGGCUGGGGCUGCUCUUCUCUCUGCCACCACAGGAUCUUGGCUCCCUCCUGCCUCCCCCGCGCUGAUGCCCCAAGCAGGCUGCAACAAGCCCCGCUGGCCUGGCUCCACUUCUGGGUGUGAAGUUUGGCUGAGUCGGCACCUGGGAGAAUGGGGCGAUUGCCAUCCUGGAGGCCAGGGCCUGGCCCAGGGCCAGUGGGCGGACGAGAGAUGGUGGGAGGGCCCGAGGACCAGGGAGCCAGCCAGAGCUGGGCGGCUGGCAGGAGAAGGUCAGGAGAGCACCUGGCUUGAAGGGGGCCGGCUUGGGGGUGCUGAGAGCCGGGGCCUGAGUGCAGCACAGAGCCCAGCUGUGUGCGUGUCCUGGCUGUUGGCAGUGCCCAAGCACGGCCUUGAACGUGCCUUUGUGCGUGUGCAUGCGUCUCGGGAUACAUCUGCGAACGUUUGUUCUUAUAAAUCUUUUAAUGUGUAUUUAUUUUUGAGAGAGAAAGAGGGAGAGAGAGACAGAGACAGAGCGUGAGUGGGAAGGGGCAGAGAGAGAGGGAGACACAGAAUCCGAAGCAGGCUCCAGGCUCUGAGCCGUCAGCACAGAGCCCGACGCGGGGCUCGAACUCAUGAACUGCGAGAUCGUGACCUGAGCUGAAGUCAGCUGCUCCACCGACUGAGCCACCCAGGCGCCCUGCGUGUGUUCUUAUAAAUGGGCAUAGAUGCAUCACCUAGCAGUGUAAGAAUAGGCGUGAUCUAUGUAGUUGUGCACAUCUGUGCAUCAAGGUGUGUCCGUGUGUCUGCGUGGACCUGUGUGUGCAUGCCUGGCCUGCACCUCUGUGUCCAGGUGAGCUUCUUGCAUGUACACGUCAGCAUCCGUGUGUGUCUGUCUGUAUGUUUCUACCCGAAUGUGUGGGUGUCCAUUUGUAUGUAUCUUUCAGUAUCCGUACAGGCGUGUGCACACUGGUGCGUCCGUAUUGGUGCACGCGUGCCCACCUCCGUCAGUAUCCAUGGGCAUCGCUGUUCAGCGUGUGUGUCCUGUCUAGUGCCCUAUGCCUCUCUGUGUCAGUGUCUGUAAACCCGCCCUGUACCUGCACUCGCGAGUGCCUCUGUGGCUGUGCCCAUGUGCUGGUCCAUUUCUGGGUGUGCACGUCUCCCUAGGAGGGUGUUGGUAUCUACUUCCGAAUGCAGGCAUGGCUGUAUCAAGGUGAGCAGGAUGGACUCUUCUCUGUGACUGCCAUAGCUCCCUUUUGUCCUCUCCAUUUUUCUCUCCUCUCCUCCUUCCUUUCCUUGCAAUUCACUCGAAGGGACCUGGCUGGCCCAGGCUGCUGUGGAGGUGACAGAUGAGUCUUAGAAGCCACUUCGGCCUCUAGAGAGGGGCUCCCUAUGUCCAUCUCCCAUGUGGGCUCAGCCCCAGAGCCACACAGGCAUCGGGCUUUUUAAAAUGGAAGUUGUUGCCCGCUCCCCCCCCCACCCGGUUCCUUAUUAAUCAUCGGCCCCAGCAGCAGUGAGAGCGACAA